rnacentral:rRNA from 2 species
AUACUCGCGUAAACUGCAUAUAGCGCGUUAAAUCAGUUAUCGUUUAUUUGAUAGUACCUACUACAUGGAUAACCGUGGUAAUUCUAGAGCUAAUACAUGCUAAAAACCUCAACGGAAGGGGUGUAUUUAUUAGAUAAAAAACCAAUGCCCUUCGGGGCUCCUUGGUGAAUCAUAAUAACUUAACGAAUCGCAUGGCCUUGCGCCGGCGAUGGUUCAUUCAAAUUUCUGCCCUAUCAACUUUCGAUGGUAGGAUAGUGGCCUACCAUGGUAUCAACGGGUAACGGGGAAUUAGGGUUCUAUUCCGGAGAGGGAGCCUGAAAAACGGCUACCACAUCCAAGGAAGGCAGCAGGCGCGCAAAUUACCCAAUCCCGACACGGGGAGGUAGUGACAAUAAAUACUGAUACAGGGCUCUUUUGGGUCUUGUAAUUGGAAUGAGUACAAUUUAAAUACCUUAACGAGGAACAAUUGGAGGGCAAGUCUGGUCCAGCAGCCGCGGUAAUUCCAGCUCCAAUAGCGUAUAUUAAAGUUGUUGCAGUUAAAAAGCUCGUAGUUGAACCUUGGGCCUGGCUGGCCGGUCCGCCUCACCGCGUGUACUGGUCCGGCCGGGCCUUCCUUCUGGGGAACCGCAUGCCCUUCACUGGGCGUGUUGGGACCAGGACUUUUACUUUGAAAAAAUUAGAGUGUUCAAAGCAGGCUUUGCUCGAAUACAUUAGCAUGGAAUAAUAGAAUAGGACGUGUGGUUCUAUUUUGUUGGUUUCUAGGACCGCCGUAAUGAUUAAUAGGGAUAGUCGGGGGCAUCUGUAUUCAAUUGUCAGAGGUGAAAUUCUUGGAUUUAUUGAAGACAAACUACUGCGAAAGCAUUUGCCAAGGAUGUUUUCAUUAAUCAGGAACGAAAGUUAGGGGAUCGAAGACGAUCAGAUACCGUCGUAGUCUUAACCAUAAACUAUGCCGACUAGGGAUCGGGGGGUGUUUCAUUUGACCUCCUCGGC